rnacentral:rRNA from 1 species
AGUGAACGCUGGCGGUAGGCCUAACACAUGCAAGUCGAACGGCAGCACAGUAAGAGCUUGCUCUUACGGGUGGCGAGUGGCGGACGGGUGAGGAAUACAUCGGAAUCUACUUUUUCGUGGGGGAUAACGUAGGGAAACUUACGCUAAUACCGCAUACGACCUACGGGUGAAAGCAGGGGAUCUUCGGACCUUGCGCGAUUGAAUGAGCCGAUGUCGGAUUAGCUAGUUGGCGGGGUAAAGGCCCACCAAGGCGACGAUCCGUAGCUGGUCUGAGAGGAUGAUCAGCCACACUGGAACUGAGACACGGUCCAGACUCCUACGGGAGGCAGCAGUGGGGAAUAUUGGACAAAGGGCGCAAGCCUGAUCCAGCCAUACCGCGUGGGUGAAGAAGGCCUUCGGGUUGUAAAGCCCUUUUGUUGGGAAAGAAAAGCAGCAGGUUAAUACCCCGCUGUUCUGACGGUACCUAAAGAAUAAGCACCGGCUAACUUCGUG